UUAUAAAAACAUUUUAUGUUGAUUUCAACAAGUGGCAGGAUCAAAUAAUAAUCAUCUUUAAUCGUAUUGGCAACACAAAAAAAACGGGGAAAAAUUAGCGUCUUUAGUUCUCAAAUUUGUAUUUAUUCAAAUGGUGUUGGUUUAAUAACUCUAAAAGGUGAUUUAUGAAAUUUUACACAUGAAUCUGCAGGAAUUGGAGCGCUCAAAUUUUGAGCGCGUCUUGGAAUGGUCGCAAUUUUUUGAC